UCGAGGAUCAUUCGCAAUGCGCGAAAGCGUGACGGUGCGACGCCGCGUGCAGGAUGAAGGCCUUCGGGUCGUAAACUGCUGUCAUGAGGGAACAAUGUCCGGGAUGUUAAUAACAUCUCGGGGUGAUAGUACCUCAAGAGGAAGCCACGGCUAACUCUGUGCCAGCAGCCGCGGUAAUACAGAGGCGGCGAGCGUUGUUCGGAUUUACUGGGCGUAAAGGGUGCGUAGGCGGUUCUGUGUGUCGGAUGUGAAAUCUCACAGCUCAACUGUGGAAUUGCAUUCGAAACUACAGGGCUGGAGUACAGGAGAGGAGAGCGGAAUUCUUGGUGUAGCGGUGAAAUGCGUAGAUAUCAAGAGGAACACCGGUGGCGAAGGCGGCUCUCUGGACUGAUACUGACGCUGAGGCACGAAAGCUGGGGGAGCAAACA
rnacentral:rRNA from 1 species